rnacentral:rRNA from 1 species
ACGCACGCUGGCGGCGUGCUUCACCCCUGCAAGUCGCACGGAAAGGCCCUGCUUUUGUGGGGUGCUCGCGUGGCGAACGGGUGAGUAACACGUGAGUAACCUGCCCUUGACUUUGGGAUAACUUCAGGAAACUGGGGCUAAUACCGGAUAGGAGCUCCUGCUGCAUGGUGGGGGAUGGAAAGUUUCGGCGGUUGGGGAUGGACUCGCGGCUUAUCAGCUUGUUGGUGGGGUAGUGGCUUACCAAGGCUUUGACGGGUAGCCGGCCUGAGAGGGUGACUGGCCACAUUGGGACUGAGAUACGGCCCAGACUCCUACGGGAGGCAGCAGUGGGGAAUAUUGCACAAUGGGCGGAAGCCUGAUGCAGCAACGCCGCGUGCGGGAUGACGGCCUUCGGGUUGUAAACCGCUUUCGCCUGUGACGAAGCGUGAGUGACGGUAAUGGGUAAAGAAGCACCGGCUAACUACGUG